rnacentral:rRNA from 1 species
GAGAGGAACUUGUUCCUCGAGUCGUUGAUUUCACACUGCCGAGAAAAGCCUCUAGCUAGAAUAACGGUGCCCGUACCGCAAACCGACACAGGUAGUCAAGAUGAGAAUUCUAAGGUGAGCGAGCGAACUCUCGUUAAGGAACUCGGCAAAAUGACCCCGUAACUUCGGGAGAAGGGGUGCUCUUUGAGGUUCACGCUUCGAAGAGCCGCAGUGAAUAGGCCCAAGCGACUGUUUAUCAAAAACACAGGUCUCUGCUAAACCGUAAGGUGACGUAUAGGGGCUGACGCCUGCCCGGUGCUGGAAGGUUAAGAGGAGUGGUUAGCGCAAGCGAAGCUACGAAUCGAAGCCCCAGUAAACGGCGGCCGUAACUAUAACGGUCCUAAGGUAGCGAAAUUCCUUGUCGGGUAAGUUCCGACCCGCACGAAAGGCGUAACGAUUUGGGCACUGUCUCAACGAGAGACUCGGUGAAAUCAUAGUACCGGUGAAGAUGCCGGUUACCCGCGACAGGACGGAAAGACCCCGUGGAGCUUUACUGUAGCCUGAUAUUGAAAUUCGGUACAGUUUGUACAGGAUAGGUAGGAGCCUUAGAAGCGUGAGCGCUAGCUUACGUGGAGGCAUUGGUGGGAUACUACCCUAAUUGUAUUGGAUUUCUAACCCGCAGCACUUAUCGUGCUGGGAGACAGUGUCAGGCGGGCAGUUUGACUGGGGCGGUCGCCUCCUAAAGAGUAACGGAGGCGCUCAAAGGUUCCCUCAGAAUGGUUGGAAAUCAUUCAUAGAGUGUAAAGGCAUAAGGGAGCUUGACUGCGAGACCUACAAGUCGAGCAGGGUCGAAAGACGGACUUAGUGAUCCGGUGGUUCCGCAUGGAAGGGCCAUCGCUCAACGGAUAAAAGCUACCCCGGGGAUAACAGGCUUAUCUCCCCCAAGAGUUCACAUCGACGGGGAGGUUUGGCACCUCGAUGUCGGCUCAUCGCAUCCUGGGGCUGUAGUCGGUCCCAAGGGUUGGGCUGUUCGCCCAUUAAAGCGGUACGCGAGCUGGGUUCAGAACGUCGUGAGACAGUUCGGUCCCUAUCCGUCGUGGGCGUAGGAAAUUUGAGAGGAGCUGUCCUUAGUACGAGAGGACCGGGAUGGACAUACCUCUGGUGUACCAGUUGUCGUGCCAACGGCAUAGCUGGGUAGCUAUGUAUGGACGGGAUAAGUGCUGAAAGCAUCUAAGCAUG